GGCGAUUCAUGACCCUAAAGAAAAAAAAGUCCAUCUAUAGCCGCUAGAUCCAAAAGUACAGUGUGUCUUACCUUGCGCUCACUCGUGAAGCGGAGCGCCUACUAGUUUACUCCGUCAAAACCCUUUCUACGCUGUAAUCCCUCGCAUCUAAACCCUCCAUGCAGGAUUCCAGCUAUGGUGGAUCCAUGGUGGUCUCUGUUAGGUGCUGCAAUACCAGCUGUUAUUGCAGGGCAAGCUUUUAGGAUGAAGAAAAAGAGAGCUGAAGAGCAGAGGCUAAAGAGUGCCAGAGGACGUGAGAAAAGCUCUGAUGAAAUUUUUGUUUGUGAGAGGGUUUGCACUUCUAAGAGGAUGUUAAAAAAGGUUGGUGCAUUAUCUAAAGACCCUACCAUUGAUACCUGUGUCACCGUUUGUGGUGUUUCUGAGCUUGAUGCUUGUGCUGAUGCUUGCGCGAGAACUGUCUGUGUUAAUCAACAUCAAGUGCCCAACUGGAAUGAUGUCUGUCUACGGAGGUGCCAAAGCGAGUGCCUUAGGCUAUCCAAUUCCUCUGUUACUUCUUAAGAGAGAGUAGAAGCUGCAAGAAUAUAAUUGGAUGUUCGUAUCUGGAUAUCAAUGGAUGUUUGGAUGGAACCCAUAUUAGGCAUGCAUACUGCCCUAGAGCAUCUCUUACAAAAAGAUAUAGCAUGUAGAACUGUGGAAGCAAUGUUGGCUGUUGGUUCAGUGUUUGUAGUCCACUGCAAUAUGUAAAUGUAUUCUCCGGGGCACUCUAGUAUCGUCCUGGCCAUUGUUUUGAAGUCCGAUCAUAAAGCUGACGAGCUUGGCUGAUGUUCAAUGAGCUUGGCUCACAAUGGAUUCGGAAUGGGAGCUCAGAUCUUUUUUAACAACUGAUAAACGAUAGUUAACAAAUUUUAUUCGAACUCCACACGAUAUAUACAAAUCACAAAUUCUUACU